GGCAAGAGUCCUUGCCAGAAAUGGCUGUGUGGAACCCGGGGCCAGUGUCUGAGUGGGAGAGACAGACACCUCUCGAAACAGUCCCUCAGAAUUCUACCCACCGUGCCUGUGGACAGCAUCCCGACUUCAGCCCUGGGACACGUCGCCUUGGAAUCCUGCCAUGUUCCCCCCUGCCAUUCUCCAGAAAGGCUUCUAGAAUUGUCUGCUUUCCACCACCUGUUCCGAUGGGAAGAUCAAGCUAAACCUGUUACUGUCCCAGGAACGCUCGAGUGCUCUCCCCGUGCAGCAAGAUCAUGUUGGGAGCCAGCCUUGGAGGCCCGCCUGAUUG